GAAAGUUUGAGAUGGUCACGUGAGAAGGAAAGGAUGAGAGAGAAACUCAUCUUCUUCCUCCUUUCGUCGCAAGAACAGAACCUGAAAAACUUAGAAAUUCCAGAACACUGCACUCGUUUUGCCCAGGUUGCUUUUAAAAAAAAACAGGCGCGCAGCGCCUUCUCCUUCGUCUUCGUUUUGCCCAGCCGCCGAGGAGCCUUUCGUCGAACAGUUGGUGUGCAGCCAAGGGGUCGCACCAGUCAGCUCCAAGGGGUCGUUCCACCAUCUCCAAGGGGUCUCUAAGGUAGUUU
rnacentral:lncRNA from 1 species